UUGUUCGCGAAAUAUUUGGCUUAACAGCCCUGGAGAUCUGCUGCGCGGUAAUUAUCUGAACCGUCUAUUUCGGCAUCUCUAUGACUGAUGAGAAAGUGAUCAUCUAUGCUAUCGAAAUUUACGUGUUUGCUUAGUUUUUUUUUUAUUAUCUCAUGGAUUUGGCUUGUGGCUCUCCAAUCUAAAAGUGACUACUUAGGACUCAUCCUUUUUAGGCAUUAUAAAGAUAAAAGAAUCUCUCGGACGUUGCUAACAUCUGAUGAUGAGGUUAGAAUCCAACUGGGCUGUCUGUUUUAUUUAAUUAUAUUAUUGUUCACGGUUGAGGGUUAUAUGGAUUAUUAGUUAGGAUUUCGGAUAUUUCGAAUGCUAUGAAGAUUUUCUGGACCAUCUUACCUCCUCCCUCCAGAAGUGAGAGCUAUAAGUGAAUUUUAUUGAUGAUAAUCAGGUCAGCUAGUGCAGUAACUAUGCUUCCAUCAAGAACUGCAAAUACAGUUUCAUUGGUACUCUAUCUAUAUCAUGUUUCUGGGUUCAGGGGCAAAAUGGUCUUUUUACGUGAUGGGGGAUGUGGAAGUUGGGAAAAUAUAAUCCUCAAAAUAUGGAAAUAUUAUAGAAAGAAAGGGAAUCAGCAGCAAUGGAAUGAACAUUGUAUUUGUUGGUGCCGAAUGUGAUGUACAAAUGGUUUCGUGGAAAAUGGUAAAAUAUGGAAAUCCGCCAAAA